AGAGUUUGAUCAUGGCUCAGAAUCAACGCUGGCGGCGUGCCUCAGACAUGCAAGUCGAACGCGAAAGUUCCCUUCGGGGGGCGGGUAGAGUGGCGCACGGGUGAGUAACACGUAGGUAAUCUACCUUCGGAUGGGGAAUAACAACCGGAAACGGUUGCUAAUACCGCAUAAUGCAGCGGCACCUAAUGGUGACAGUUGUUAAAGCGGGGGAUCGUAAGACCUCGCGUCUGGAGAGGAGCCUGCGGCGGAUUAGCUAGUUGGUAAGGUAACGGCUUACCAAGGCUAUGAUCCGUAGCCGGCCUGAGAGGGCGGUCGGCCACACUGACACUGACAUACGGGUCAGACUCCUACGGGAGGCAGCAGUCGGGAAUUUUGGGCAAUGGGCGAAAGCCUGACCCAGCAACGCCGCGUGAAGGAUGAAAUCCUUCGGGAUGUAAACUUCGCAAGAACGGGAAGAAUAAGCCGGUAUUAACACCACCGGUGAUGACGGUACUGUUUGUAAGCUCCGGCUAACUCCGUGCCAGCAGCCGCGGUAAUUC
rnacentral:rRNA from 1 species